GCAAUGUGCUCAUGUCUCCUCUGAUUUUCUUACUGUGGCUGUCACCUCCACUAUGGAAAGAAAAAUGAACGAUAAUGUUGUGAUGGGCUGGGCUACCAUGUUAUACCCUAUUUACAGGUCUGCAUCUGUGGUGACCAUCUCCCAUUUGGAAAAUUAACUGCUUCCGGACAUUGAGUGUGGCACAGCAUUCUCCCAGGCGGUGAAGCCACCAGGAGACUUACUUGUUUAUCAUUUCAAAAGGGAGAGGAGGGAGAAAAGCUGCAUGUCUCUGAUGUACAACACAGUGUUAGACAAGGAAAUUUUGGCCCACUUUAUGAUGUUUUGAAUCCUAAUACAUUGUAGAGUGGGGCCAUUGAAGGCCAACACUCCUUUGAAGACUGAUUUUGCCUCUUGUGUCCAUUGACUACUGUCAAAGAAUGAAUCCCUCGUGAAGGAGAAUUCCAGAGAGAUAAACACAGAGAGCAUGAAAGAAACACUGAAUGCUAAAAUAGCUAUUUUUUGAAUGUUUGACAUGAGCAAUUUCUUUCAUCUAUACACACACUCAUUCUAAGAUGCCUCAUUAGCUAGAAAAAAGGCACAUUUAACAAGUGCAAACCAUUAGUGAUGCUGAUUCUUCAAAUCUCUGGGGUUACCAAAUUAUUCAAGAUGGAGCUAAAAAACUGCAAAUAAAAGUUGUGUGAUUUAUUUCAGUUUGUUCUGAGUUAGACAAUAAAGUGCUUAAGAUCUAUAUUAUCAAAUAAAAUCGUGGAUUGAUUAUACCUAUUGCUUAUCUUAAUGCAUCUUAUUAAAUAUUUAACAUUUUCUAUUACCUGCUAGUAAAAAUAAAAAGGUGUAUACUAGCUGCUGAACUGAUUAGGUUUGUUUUUAGCAGUGUAUAUCUUUCUCUGUUAAUAAGUGGAGUAAUAAAUGUCUAAUAAUGUUUAGUAAAUUAUUUCUGGUUUUUUGAUGUAGAAUUUUAUGUAUUUUUUCACAAAAGCUGAACACCAGAGUUUGAUAACACACACACGCUGGAAAAAUACUAUUAUUUUGACCAUACUUAGUGCUUCAUAAAAAACAUAAUUUUUGCCACCCAUUACUUUCCAUUAUUGCAAACUAAGGAAACAGAGCACAUUGAUAAAUCAUCUUUUACAACUUUUAAAACCAGGGAUAACUAGUUACAUAGAUCUACAUCACUUUAAUAUUGACUUGGUUGUUAUUUUCCAUAAAUCAAAUUAGCUCAAUCUAUGGGUCCUAUGUUUUGACAAAAAAAGAAAAGAAACACAGUGAUAUUAAACUAUUUUGUCAAAAAGUAUUGCAUUGGUAAAAAUAUAUUGAGAUUACCACUAUUUCUAUUUUUCUUAAACCUUUUUUUGUAUGUUGGCUUAAACAAGGUGGUUUUAAGUGAAUGAGUAAAAGGCACACUUAUUUGCUAAGUCUUGCAAAAGCAUUUUUGCUACACUUAUUAGAAAAUUAAAAGGCAAAUGACUAUUGCGAGGCAGCUGGUUUCUUAUUCUUUAUUGCAACUAUACUGAAGAAGUUAUUCGAGUUGUCAUCUGUUGAUUAAAAAUGACUUUGCAAGAAUAUAAUUUGGCAUAUAAUUCAGGAGUAACUCAAAGAAGUGACAUUUGAAUAACAGAACUCCUUGUUGUUCUGGCCUCCUUGUUAUGUGGACAAAUUUCUCAGUCCUUCUAUUAAAAGAAAAAUGGAACACAAUGGGUUCUGAAAUUCUAUCUUGGUGGCAGUAGACACAUGAAUUCAUUAGAAAAUUAAAUCUAGUUCUUAAUACAUUUCUAAUAAAAUUUUACUUUUUAUGUAACGUAUUAUUAAUGUUUUGGUCAACUGUGUACUAAA